rnacentral:rRNA from 1 species
AACGAACGCUGGCGGCAGGCCUAACACAUGCAAGUCGAACGGGAUCUUCGGAUCUAGUGGCGGACGGGUGAGUAACGCGUGGGAACGUGCCCUUUGGUUUGGAAUAGCCCCGGGAAACUGGGAGUAAUACCGGAUACGCCUUUCGGGGGAAAGAUUUAUCGCCAAAGGAUCGGCCCGCGUUGGAUUAGGUAGUUGGUGGGGUAAUGGCCUACCAAGCCGACGAUCCAUAGCUGGUUUGAGAGGAUGAUCAGCCACACUGGGACUGAGACACGGCCCAGACUCCUACGGGAGGCAGCAGUGGGGAAUCUUAGACAAUGGGGGCAACCCUGAUCUAGCCAUGCCGCGUGAUCGAUGAAGGCCUUAGGGUUGUAAAGAUCUUUCAGCUGGGAAGAUAAUGACUGUACCAGCAGAAGAAGCCCCGGCUAACUCCGUGCCAGCAGCCGCCGUAAUAC